rnacentral:rRNA from 1 species
GACGGAGGGUGCUAGCGUUGUUCGGAAUCACUGGGCGUAAAGGGCGCGUAGGCGGCCAGGCAAGUCGGCUUGUGAAAGCCCGGGGCUCAACCCCGGAGGUGCGGCCGGGACUGCUUGGCUGGAGGCCGGAAGAGGAGGGUGGAAUACCCAGUGUAGAGGUGAAAUUCGUAGAUAUUGGGAAGAACACUAGUGGCGAAGGCGGCUAACUGGUCCAGAUCUGACGCUGAGGUGCGAAAGCGUGGGGAGCAAACAGG